GGACGGAGAGAGAGCACCAAGGCCGGCCAGCGACGCGCAACCCAGGCGGGGAUGGAGAAGUGGUCUGGCCCGGUCCGACGGUCUGCUGGGCUGAGCCAUAAGUUGGGGCACACCCAGGACGCUCCGACUCACCCCGCGCGGCCAGCGCCAGGCUCCCGAGGUGCAGGAGCAGCGAUAGCAACGCCGCCCGAGCCCCCGCCAUGCUCGCUUGACCCGCCUCGCUUUAGGGAAUCCAACGCCCACCUCUGACCUCCCCAGCACCAGGCACGUAUGUGGUGUAUGUUAAGGUAGUUCUCUCUCGUCCUUGCUUCCUUCCUUCCUUCCUUCCUUCCUUCCUUCCUUCCUUCCUUCCUUCCUUUCUUUCUCUCUUUCUUUCCUUCUUUCUUUUGUUCUGUUUUAUUGGGCUCGUAUACCUGUUUCCCUUCCAACCUUUGCUCCACCCUAAUCUCGUCUAAGCCCCCCAAACUAAAUAUAUAACCCCUAACUUCCCGCAGGGCCUCUGUUAUCCCGUUUAUAAGCAGUGGAACCAGAAUCCACAGUACAGUGAGCAGCAGACAAAGUCACCUAAAUUAAGAAUCCAGGGAGCUGAACUGCAAGAAGCCUGCUAUGGAAACUGGUGUGGUGGCAUACACCCGCAAUGCCAGCUUUCCCAGUUGAAGCAAGGAGAUGGGAGGUUUCAAGGCCACCAUAAGCUACAAGAGCAGGUUUGAGACCAGCCUGGGAUAUGUGAAUGAAAUCUUAAAUGAAACACAAACACACACACACACACACACACACACACACACACACACACACACACACUGGGAGGGGAGGGGUUGUCAGAUGGUAAGAACUCAGAACAAACAACAGUCAGUGUUGAUUAAAAGCACCCACUCUUCACUUCCACAUCUCUCUCCUGGAGCCCACCGACCACAUCUACACCAGAUGCAGGCCAAAUGCCCAGCCUCCCUUCUCUGGCUGGCUGGGCUCCUUUUCCAAAGUCUGGACUCAGGGCUCAGCAGGAGUAGGAAGCCCUGGGCUUACUUCAGGGGAGGAGCCCAAAGUGAGGAAAUAGGAAAAUGGUCCAGAGCCUAGGACUGGGAAACAGCUCUGUGCAGCUGGGAAGGCAGGAUGGGGCCCCAUGUUCACAGCAGAGGGACACGGAGGGUGGGGCUGUAAAUCCAGCCAAAGAAGUCCCUGCCUUGGCCUUGAAGACCUGGAAUGUGAAGUCACCCUUCCCCAGCUGGGGCAGGGCAGGAACUGAAGGUCUCCCUCUGGAGUCAAGGCUUGAGUAAAAGAGGGCAGGGUCUCUUCGCAGAUGUGAGGGCCCCUCUUGGGGCUAAGCAGUUUGCAGCAGGCGGAGGGGAGACUGUGACUAAACCUUUCCCCUGUGACUUGGAGCUAGGGUCACUCAGCAAAGGAAAAGCCAGAGCCAAUGGAAGCCAGCGGAACUAGGAACUAGCAGCUCUUGUCCAAACCCGGAAGUAAUGAGAGACAGAAAGAGAGAGACAGAGUCACAGACAGAGACAGAGGAGACACAGAGACAGAGACAGAGAAG
ensembl:antisense Gm26627 predicted gene, 26627